AUUGAACGCUGGCGGCAGGCUUAACACAUGCAAGUCGAACGGUAACAUAAAGAAGCUUGCUUCUUUGAUGACGAGUGGCGGACGGGUGAGUAAUGCUUGGGAAUCUAGCUUAUGGAGGGGGAUAACUACGGGAAACUGUAGCUAAUACCGCGUAGAAUCGAGAGAUGAAAGUGUGGGACCUUCGGGCCACAUGCCAUAGGAUGAGCCCAAGUGGGAUUAGGUAGUUGGUGAGGUAAAGGCUCACCAAGCCGACGAUCUCUAGCUGGUCUGAGAGGAUGACCAGCCACACUGGGACUGAGACACGGCCCAGACUCCUACGGGAGGCAGCAGUGGGGAAUUAAUGCGCAAAGGGG
rnacentral:rRNA from 1 species